rnacentral:piRNA from 1 species
UGGGAUGCACCUCUGGAGAUGUGGAC